UUUAUGGAGAGUUUGAUCCUGGCUCAGGAUGAACGCUGGCGGCGUGCCUAAUACAUGCAAGUCGAGCGAACGGACGAGAAGCUUGCUUCUCUGAUGUUAGCGGCGGACGGGUGAGUAACACGUGGAUAACCUACCUAUAAGACUGGGAUAACUUCGGGAAACCGGAGCUAAUACCGGAUAAUAUUUUGAACCGCAUGGUUCAAAAGUGAAAGACGGUCUUGCUGUCACUUAUAGAUGGAUCCGCGCUGCAUUAGCUAGUUGGUAAGGUAACGGCUUACCAAGGCAACGAUGCAUAGCCGACCUGAGAGGGUGAUCGGCCACACUGGAACUGAGACACGGUCCAG
rnacentral:rRNA from 1 species